GCCAGCGUAGCUCAGUGGUAGAGCAGUUCUUUCGUAAAGAAAAGGUCGGGAGUUCGACUCUCCCCGUUGGCU
rnacentral:tRNA from 1 species